CAGUAGGAUCCUGUGGCUGACAGAGAGCUAUGAUUAGCUGCUCACAGGCAUUUUUAAUAUUUGCCCAUGAUGAAAUGGAAUUUGUUUCUCCAGGAAACGUUUCCCACUGAGAUUUCCUGAAGUCCUUUACCCAGAUGCCCAGCAGUGACGGCAGCAGGCAAAGCAGCAGAAAACCCAAAAGGACAAAUCAGGGCUCCAAGGGCCACAAGCAGGAGAGGUCCUCUGCCUUCCCAUUUUCCAUGUUUUUAUGGGCAGCAGCCAGCUGCAGAUGGUGGGUAAG